rnacentral:rRNA from 1 species
AGAGUUUGAUCAUGGCUCAGAUUGAACGCUGGCGGCAGGCCUAACACAUGCAAGUCGAACGGUAACAGGAAACAGCUUGCUGUUUCGCUGACGAGUGGCGGACGGGUGAGUAAUGUCUGGGAAACUGCCUGAUGGAGGGGGAUAACUACUGGAAACGGUAGCUAAUACCGCAUAACGUCGCAAGACCAAAGAGGGGGACCUUCUGGCCUCUUGCCAUCGGAUGUGCCCAGAUGGGAUUAGCUAGUAGGUGGGGUAACGGCUCACCUAGGCGACGAUCCCUAGCUGGUCUGAGAGGAUGAACAGUCACACUGGAACUGAGACACGGUCCAGACUCCUACGGGAGGCAGCAGUGGGGAAUAUUGCACAAUGGGCGCAAGCCUGAUGCAGCCAUGCCGCGUGUAUGAAGAAGGCCUUCGGGUUGUAAAGUACUUUCAGCGGGGAGGAAGGGAGUAAAGUUAAUACCUUUGCUCAUUGACGUUACCCGCAGAAGAAGCACCGGCUAACUCCGUGCCAGCAGCCGCGGUAAUACGGAGGGUGCAAGCGUUAAUCGGAAUUACUGGGCGUAAAGCGCACGCAGGCGGUUUGUUAAGUCAGAUGUGAAAUCCCCAGGCUCAACCUGGGAACUGCAUCUGAUACUGGCAAGCUUGAGUCUCGUAGAGGGGGGUAGAAUUCCAGGUGUAGCGGUGAAAUGCGUAGAGAUCUGGAGGAAUACCGGUGGCGAAGGCGGCCCCCUGGACGAAGACUGACGCUCAGGUGCGAAAGCGUGGGGAGCAAACAGGAUUAGAUACCCUGGUAGUCCACGCCGUAAACGAUGUCGACUUGGAGGUUGUGCCCUUGAGGCGUGGCUUCCGGAGCUAACGCGUUAAGUCGACCGCCUGGGGAGUACGGCCGCAAGGUUAAAACUCAAAUGAAUUGACGGGGGCCCGCACAAGCGGUGGAGCAUGUGGUUUAAUUCGAUGCAACGCGAAGAACCUUACCUGGUCUUGACAUCCACGGAAGUUUUCAGAGAUGAGAAUGUGCCUUCGGGAACCGUGAGACAGGUGCUGCAUGGCUGUCGUCAGCUCGUGUUGUGAAAUGUUGGGUUAAGUCCCGCAACGAGCGCAACCCUUAUCCUUUGUUGCCAGCGGUCCGGCCGGGAACUCAAAGGAGACUGCCAGUGAUAAACUGGAGGAAGGUGGGGAUGACGUCAAGUCAUCAUGGCCCUUACGACCAGGGCUACACACGUGCUACAAUGGCGCAUACAAAGAGAAGCGACCUCGCGAGAGCAAGCGGACCUCAUAAAGUGCGUCGUAGUCCGGAUUGGAGUCUGCAACUCGACUCCAUGAAGUCGGAAUCGCUAGUAAUCGUGGAUCAGAAUGCCACGGUGAAUACGUUCCCGGGCCUUGUACACACCGCCCGUCACACCAUGGGAGUGGGUUGCAAAAGAAGUAGGUAGCUUAACCUUCGGGAGGGCGCUUACCACUUUGUGAUUCAUGACUGGGGUGAAGUCGUAACAAGGUAACCGUAGGGGAACCUGCGGUUGGAUCACCU